GUUACGUAUGUCGGCUACGGAGAGAGGCAAGAAAAUUUUCGCAGAAUCAAAGAGCAUAUCAGAUUGAAAGGUCAAAAUACAGCAAGGCAGAAGGGAAUGUUGAGGAUCACCGAGAGGAAGCUAAGUGGCCACACUGGUCAGCAAGCAGGUUAUUCUUGAGUUAACUGAUGAUACAUGGACAAGAGCAGAUGAAUAUCAGAGAAGUGAAGAAUCUGGACGAACAAGUGGUGUAAGAACAGGGCCAAAUGCGCAAGCGCAACCGUUGGAUGCCAG
rnacentral:misc_RNA from 1 species